rnacentral:tRNA from 1 species
GCAACCCAAUGAAACCGGUACUUUGUCUGACUUUUAAUCAGAGGGUCCCCGGUUCGAGCCCGGGGGGCGUACCA